AUCCCAGAUGAACUUGUAUUCAUGGUGUUCUUCUGAUUCAUAGGGGGCCUAGAACAAAGAUGGGAGUUUCGCUGAUAACGCCUUCUCUUUCUCAUUGUAGGCGUUUCAUUAGUAGCUCGCCAUACACUU